rnacentral:lncRNA from 1 species
CUACCGUCUCAGAUAUUCCCUCAUUGUCUUCUUGUGUCUCAGUACUGCUGAAGAGACAGUCAAAUCCAUUCUGAUUCCUUGGCAGUGUGCGUUCCCGGCCAACCUGGAUUCGGCGCAGAAGGGGGACUCCCUCAUGGCCUGAGUGUGCCUCACUGGGGACCAUCGUUGGAAACCAGCUUACGCAGCCCUGCAGAGUGACAGCCUGUCCUCCGGUAGAUCUCAGCUCGGACACAGCUUCCCCAGGAAACCGCUCCGCACAGACUCCC